CGGACAUGGAAGGCUACAUGGGCUCACGCCUAGAUAAGAUUUUGGAAUAAAAACCCUUAGGUAUAUAUAUAUCUCUACCAGCCCAAAAAAAAAAAAAAAAUUAUCUGCAACCAGUUCCUCAGACGCGCAGCGGCACGCCGGCACAUCGAGUCCCUCGAGUUGGGUUCUUCUUCAUGCAGUUCCUUUCAUUGCAGACUUGCAGUCAUCUGCUCAUCUUCUUCCUGUAUCCAAGCUUGCUUUGUUUUCUGAUUUGCUCCAAACGGGGAGAUUUGGGACACAGCAGGACAAGAAAGGUUUCAAAGUCUCAGGGGCAACAUUUUAUGUGUGUGUUCUUGUUUAUAAUGUGAAUGUUCUAAGAUCAUUUGAAACACUUCAGAACUGGCAUGAAGAGUUUCUCAUACAGGUAGGUCCAGCUGACACUGAGGCAUUUCCAUUUAUACUACUCGGCAACAAAAUUGAUAUAGAUGCCUGUUAUAUGUUUUGAUUGGAAAAAAUAAUAAAGGCACGAGGAUGAGCCUCCCAUUGGGUUCCAAACCUAAAAAAAAAAAAAUAUAUAUAUAUAUAUAGAGAAAUUUUAAAAAUUUUGUGCACUUGUAAUUAGCCUAGACGGGUUUCGGAUCCUGGAUCCGCCCCUACUCAUUACUGAGGUAACAACUUGAACAUUCUGACAUACUAGGAUGAGAUGUUAUGUAUAAUUAUGCUCGAUUGUGAAAAAAAAAUGACACAAUUCCCUCAAUAAAUAGCAAUAAUAAAUAAACUUCAAGAAAAAAAAAAAAACAUUACAUAGGCAUAUAUAGUCGUGGCCCUACCUCAUGGACUAGGUUAUAGACUACAAUUCACAUAAAGUAAUCAAUAUAAUAAGCUAAGGCUCAAUUUGGGAUAACUUAGCUUAAAUCAUAUUGAGCUGUAGUUUUUAAAUUAUGAAAACUGCUUUUUACCAA